rnacentral:rRNA from 1 species
AAAAAGCUCGUAGUUGGAUCUGUGUGCCACGCUGUCGGUUCACCGCCCGUCGGUGUCAACUGGCAUGUCUGUGGGACGUCCUGCCGGUGGCGGUACGGGCUGCUGCGUAGGGUCGCCCCCGAAGCACGCCGGCGUGUCCCGGUCCGCCGAUCCAAUCCCGCCGCGGUGCUCUUCACUGAGUGUCGAGGUGGGCCGGCACGUUUACUUUGAACAAAUUAGAGUGCUCAAAUCAGGUCGUAUUUAGGCCUGAAUACUGUGUGCAUGGAAUAAUGGAAUAGGACCUCGGUUCUAUUUUGUUGGUUUUUUGGAAUCAGAGGUAAUGAUUAAUAGGGACAGUCGGGGGCAUUCGUAUUGCGACGUUAGAGGUGAAAUUCUUGGAUCGUCGCAAGACGAACCUAAGCGAAAGCAUUUGCCAAGUAUGUUUCCGUUAAUCAAGAACGAAAGUUAGAGGUUCGAAGGCGAUCAGAUACCGCCCUAGUUCUAACCAUAAACGAUGCCAGCCAGCGAUCCGCCGAAGUUCCUCCGAUGACUCGGCGGGCAGCUUCCGGGAAACCAAAGCUUUUGGGUUCCGGGGGAAGUAUGGUUGCAAAGCUGAAACUUAAAGGAAUUGACGGAAGGGCACCACCAGGAGUGGAGCCUGCGGCUUAAUUUGACUCAACACGGGAAACCUCACCAGGCCCGGACACCGGAAGGAUUGACAGAUUGAGAGCUCUUUCUUGAUUCGGUGGGUGGUGGUGCAUGGCCGUUCUUAGUUGGUGGAGCGAUUUGUCUGGUUAAUUCCG